AUAUCGGUAGGGGAGCGUUCUGUUGUAGGUCGAAGUAUUAGCGUAAGCGGAUAUGGACGAAGCAGAAGUGAGAAUGUCGGCUUGAGUAACGAAAAUAUAGGUGAGAAUCCUAUACCCCGAAAACCCAAGGUUUCCUCCGGAAGGCUCGUCCGCGGAGGGUAAGUCAGGACCUAAGGCGAGGCUGAAAAGCGUAGUCGAUGGACAACGGGUUAAUAUUCCCGUACCAUUUUUUAUUGACAACGAGGGACGGAGAAGGCUAAGCUAGCCGGAUAUUGGUUACCGGUUUAAACGUUCAAGAUGUUGAGAAGCGGCGAAAACGCUUUGAGUUGAGACGUGAGUACGAGACGCUAAGGCGUCGAAGUAGUGUAUGUCAUACUUCCAAGAAAAGCUUGCACUGUCAUAAAUAAAAAAUGCCUGUACCAUAACCGACACAGGUGGGUAGGUAGAGUAUACUAAGGGGCGCGAGCUAACUCUCUCUAAGGAACUCGGCAAAAUAGCCCUGUAACUUCGGGAGAAGGGGUGCCCUGUGAAGGGUUGCAAUAACCAGACCCAGGCGACUGUUUAUCAAAAACACAGGUCUCCGCUAAGUCGAAAGAUAAUGUAUGGGGGCUGACGCCUGCCCAGUGCCGGAAGGUUAAAGAAAAUGGUUAGCGUUAUGCGAAGCUGAUGACUGAAGCCCCGGUGAACGGCGGUCGUAACAAUAACGAUCCUAAGGUAGCGAAAUUCCUUGUCGGGUAAGUUCCGACCCGCACGAAAGGCGUAAUGAUUUGGAUACUGUCUCGGAGAGGGGCUCGGUGAAAUAGACUUGUCUGUGAAGAUGCGGACUACCUGCACCAGGACAGAAAGACCCUAUGAAGCUUUACUGUAACCUGAAAUUGAAAUUGGACUUUAGUCGCGCAGUAUAGGUGGGAGGCGUUGAAAGUAUUCUUGCGGGAAUACUGGAGCUAUCAGUGAGAUACCACUCUUCUAAUGUUAGAUUUCUAACUUUGAACCAUUAUCUGGUCAAAGAACAGUUUCAGGCGGGCAGUUUGACUGGGGCGGUCGCCUCCCAAAUGGUAACGGAGGCGUACAAAGGUUUCCUCUGAACGGGUAGAAAUCGUAUCUAGAGUGUAAAGGCAUAAGGAAGCUUGACUGUGAGACCUACAAGUCGAACAGGGACGAAAGUCGGUCUUAGUGAUCUGACGGUACUGAGUGGAAAGGCCGUCACUCAACGGAUAAAAGUUACUCUAGGGAUAACAGGCUGAUCUCCCCCAAGAGUUCACAUCGACGGGGAGGUUUGGCACCUCGAUGUCGGCUCAUCGCAGCCUGGGGCGGUAGUACGUCCCAAGGGUUGGGCUGUUCGCCCAUUAAAGCGGUACGUGAGCUGGGUUCAGAACGUCGUGAGACAGUUCGGUCCAUAUCCGGUGCGAGCGUUAGAGUAUUGAAGGGAUCUUCUCCUAGUACGAGAGGACCGGAGAGGACAUACCUCUGGUGUACCAGUUCUUAUGCCAAUAGGACGUGCUGGGUAGCUACGUAUGGAAAGGAUAACUGCUGAAAGCAUAUAAGUAGGAAGCCUACCUUGAGAUGAGUACUCUUUGCUCUUAUAAGAGGUAAGGUCGCGGAAAGAACAACCGUUUGAUAGGUAUUAAGUUGAAGAUUAGUAAUAAUUGUAGCUGAAAUAUACUAAAAGACCGA
rnacentral:rRNA from 16 species